rnacentral:rRNA from 1 species
GUAGGGAAUAUUGCGCAAUGGGGGAAACCCUGACGCAGCGACGCCGCGUGAGUGAUGAAGGCCUUCGGGUCGUAAAGCUCUGUUGCAGGGGAAUAAAAAAAUGAAGGUACCCUGUGAGGAAGGAUCGGCUAACUUCGUGCCAGCAGCCGCGGUAAGACGAGGGAUCCUAGCGUGUCUCGGAAUCAUUGGGCGUAAAGAGGGCGUAGGUGGCUUGGUAAGUCAGGGGUGAAAGCCCAGGGCUCAACCCUGGAAGUGCAUUUGAUACUGCUGAGCUUGAGUGUCGGAGAGGUUACCGGAAUACCUGGUGUAGUGGUGAAAUACGUAGAUAUCAGGUGGAACACCGGAGGCGAAGGCGGGUAACUGGACGAACACUGACACUGAGGCCCGAAAGCGUGGGGAUCAAACAGGAUUAGAAACCCGGGUAGUCC